GACGAACGCUGGCGGCGUGCUUAACACAUGCAAGUCGAACGGAAAGGCCCCUUUGGGGGUACUCGAGUGGCGAACGGGUGAGUAACACGUGAGUAACCUGCCCUUGACUUCGGGAUAACUUCAGGAAACUGGGGCUAAUACCGGAUAGGAAUCCUUGCUGCAUGGUGGGGGUUGGAAAGCUUCGGCGGGUUUGGAUGGACUCGCGGCUUAUCAGCUUGUUGGUGGGGUAGUGGCUUACCAAGGCUUUGACGGGUAGCCGGCCUGAGAGGGCGACCGGCCACAUUGGGACUGAGAUACGGCCCAGACUCCUACGGGAGGCAGCAGUGGGGAAGAUUGCACAAGGGGCGGAAGCCUGAUGCAGCAACGCCGCGUGCGGGAUGACGGCCUUCGGGUUGUAAACCGCUUUCAGCAGGGGCGAAGCUUGUGGUGACGGUACCUGCAGAAGAAGCACCGGCUAACUACGUG
rnacentral:rRNA from 1 species